GUCCAAUUUCCGCCUUUGCCAGUCUGCUGGUGUCACUCUUCUUGUCUUCAUUUCUUCUUCAAGAUUUGGUGAUUUUUGAAGCAGACGGAGUAAAGUAAGCACUGAAGUAGGCGAAGCAAAGGUUAAUAGGUUUAUUUCUGCCACCGAAAAUUAGGCAAGCCGGCCAGUUGUUUCGAACAGGCCAGUGAAGGGGUGUCAGAAUUAUGGAAGCUAUAGAUCAUCCUGCAUGCAUUGUGCUU